AGUGAACGCUGGCGGUAGGCCUAACACAUGCAAGUCGAACGGCAGCACAGGAGAGCUUGCUCUCUGGGUGGCGAGUGGCGGACGGGUGAGGAAUACAUCGGAAUCUACUUUUUCGUGGGGGAUAACGUAGGGAAACCUACGCUAAUACCGCAUACGACCUACGGGUGAAAGCAGGGGACCUUCUGGCCCUGCGCGAUUGAAUGAGCCGAUGUCGGAUUAGCUAGUUGGCGGGGUAAAGGCCCACCAAGGCGACGACCCGUAGCUGGUCUGAGAGGAUGAUCAGCCACACUGGAACUGAGACACGGUCCAGACUCCUACGGGAGGCAGCAGUGGGGAAUAUUGGACAAUGGGCGCAAGCCUGAUCCAGCCAUACCGCGUGGGUGAAGAAGGCCUUCGGGUUGUAAAGCCCUUUUGUUGGGAAAGAAAUCCAGCUGGCUAAUACCCGGUUGGGAUGACGGUACCCAAAGAAUAAGCACCGGCUAACUUCGUGCCAGCCGCCGCAGUAA
rnacentral:rRNA from 1 species